CUCGCCUUAUCUCGCAAUGAGAAGUUGACAGAAUUUUGCUUAACUCGCCUAAACUCUCCCUAUUUUGCAAUAAAAACCAGCACAGUUUCACGUCAGUAAAACACAAAUACUGUCAAUCAAAAUUCUUUAGACUCACAAUACUCACUUACAUAUUCUAUGAGUUUGGCAUUGCAACUGACAUCAACAUACAAGUUUGUAAGCCUGAUUAUCUGAAAUGUUAUCAUAUUUUUAAUUUACUACAUUCUCUGUAAUGCCAUAAAGCUGUAUUGAUCAAAUAAUUCCACCAACUAC